UACGUAGGGGGCAAGCGUUGUCCGGAAUUAUUGGGCGUAAAGAGCGUGUAGGCGGUCCGGUAAGUCAGCUGUGAAAGUCAAGGGCUCAACCCUUGAAUGCCGGUUGAUACUGUCGGGCUAGAGUCCGGAAGAGGCGAGUGGAAUUCCCGGUGUAGCGGUGAAAUGCGCAGAUAUCGGGAGGAACACCGAUUGCGAAGGCAGCUCGCUGGGACGUAACUGACGCUGAGACGCGAAAGCGUGGGGAGCAAACAGG
rnacentral:rRNA from 1 species